ACGGAAGGCAGCAGUGGGGAAUAUUGGGCAAUGGGCGAAAGCCUGACCCAGCGACGCCGCGUGAGGGAAGAAGGUCUUCGGAUUGUAAACCUUAGUCAACAGGGAAGAAGCAAGUGACGGUACCUGUGGAGGAAGCCACGGCUAACUACGUGCCAGCAGCCGCGGUAAUACGUAGGUGGCGAGCGUUAUCCGGAUUUACUGGGUGUAAAGGGUGUGUAGGCGGGUCUGCAAGUCAGAUGUGAAAACUAUCGGCUCAACUGAUAGCUUGCAUUUGAAACUGUGGGUCUUGAGUGUGGGAGAGGUAAGUGGAAUUCCUAGUGUAGCGGUGAAAUGCGUAGAUAUUAGGAGGAACACCAGUGGCGAAGGCGGCUUACUGGACUGUAACUGACGUUGAGGCUCGAAAGCGUGGGGAGCAAACAGGAUUAGAUACCCUGGUA
rnacentral:rRNA from 1 species